rnacentral:rRNA from 1 species
AUUGAACGCUGGCGGCAGGCCUAACACAUGCACGUCGAACGAGUGGCGGACGGGUGAGUAAUGUCUGGGAAACUGCCUGAUGGAGGGGGAUAACUACUGGAAACGGUGGCUAAUACCGCAUACCAUCAGAUGUGCCCAUAUGGGAUUCGCUUGUUGGUGGGGAAACGGCUCACCAAGGCGACGAUCCCUAGCUUGUCUGAGAGGAUGACAAGACACACUGGGACUGAGAAACGGCCCAGACUCCUACGGGAGGCAGCAGUGGGGAAUAUUGCACAAUGGGGGCAAGCCUGAUGCAGCCAUGCCGCGUGUAUGAAGAAGGCCUUCGGGUUGUAAAGUACUUUCAGCGGGGAGGCGUUACCCGCAGAAGAAGCACCGGCUAACUCCGUGCCAGCAGCCGCGGUAAUUC